rnacentral:lncRNA from 12 species
AAUAUUUAUUAAUUCAUUCACUCUACAAACAAUAAUUUUUUAAUACCAGCACUCAAGCUGGGCACCAUGCCUAGUCCUGGAGCCUCUAUUCUACAUGAGUUUAUGGUCAAAUAAACCAAUGGUCUCUAGAACAAGUUUGACAUUGAGGACCAUAGACAAAUGGACAAAAAUAUUCAUAUUUCUGGUUACAUAUUUAUUUCAUCCCUUCUCAGGUCGGUUUUGUACAUAUUUAUAAGGUACAAAUGUAUUUAUGGAGUUGUAUAUGAAUAUCUUUCAGAAAUAAAAAUAUUCAUGUAUUAGAAGAAUUUUAAAAAUAUACUUAUUUGGGCACAUGAUAUAACUUAUUUACAUAUCAUAGUAUAAACAAGUCUAAGAGAUUAUGAAAAGUAUGAUUUUAGAAGUCCAUAAAGUAGGAAGAGCUAAAGAAUAAAACAAAUCUCCAAAACCCGGUAGUUUAGGGAAAGUUCUAUCUUGGUGAUAUUUGUGACUUACGACAAAUGAAUGAGUACCUAUCCACCUACAGGAUGAAAGAGGGGAAAAGAUGAAAGAGGCCAGCAGAUAUUUAAGACUGAGAUAUUAGUCUUCCACAACAACAUGGCAUGGGAUUAUGGACAACAAGAAAUUGGAGAACAACUCUGAAGGAAGGCUGCUAAGUGUGGAAUGAGACCAAGAAUCCAUGUGGCAGGAUUUCCCGAAGAAGGUUGGGGAUUGUCUCAUGAACUCCAGUAAAGAUGAAAGAGGUAAAAAAGAUGUACAUCAGGCUAUACCCAUUGACUUGAUUCAGUCACGUCUGAAUGAGCACAGUCUGGAAGACUUAAUUCAAAGUUAAGAGUCUCAGCCACUCUAGAAUUAUGUUGCCUUUGUCACAGUAGAACAUAACUUCAUCAAAAUCCCCUAAAAUGGUAAUAUUUUAAUUUUGAUGAGAACUAUAUCUGGAAAUUGAUUAAGAAGGCUUCCUUUUAAGAGUAUGUUCUUUAACUUAUUGAGAUGUAGCUUUCAUAAAAACACACACACACAAGUGUACUAUGAGAGAAAACAGCACUACUAAAUUUAUCAUCAGACUCCCUUUCAAAGAUUAAAGAAAAAACCUAUCAAUAUAUUUGUGUCACUCUUUUUGAAACCCUUUGGUUGAUUAAACUCCUGAGUAAGUAAGUCUGAGCCAGGGGAACUUCAGAAGAAUCUUUAGUCUGUCAUUCUUUUUUUUAUGACUUUGGACCAAUUGCUUUGUCUUUCUGUAUAUAUUUUUUUGUUUUGUUUCCAUUUGUAAACCAAGAUGACACAUUCCAUCUUUCUCCUUCAUUGGGGUUUGGGAGUAUUAGGGCAUUGACUGAUUAAGGCAUCUAAGAACUGAUUUUUAUUUUUCACCCUGCAUGGGUAACUUAUGAAAGCAAUGUAUCAUAUAUUACAGUUAGGAUGACUGAUUUAUAUUGUAUUAUAUGCAUGUAUAUCCAUAGUAUCACAGGUCACCAAAAAUGGUAUAUAUAGGGUUUGUAAAACUUUAUUUCAUAAAAAAUGUAUAAG